rnacentral:rRNA from 1 species
CGGGAAUAGCUCGAACCGAAAAUUGUGGUGUGUUUGCGUUACUUGCUCGGCCAAGGUCCCUUGGAACAGGGCAGCGUACAGGGUGAGACUCCCGUUUGGCUGUGCUUUUGAGCUUACAUGAUGGAGUCGAGUUGUUUGGGAUUGCAGCUCAAAGUGGGUGGUAAAUUCCAUCGAAAGCUAAAUAUUGGUGGGAGACCGAUAGCGUACAAGUACCGUGAGGGAAAGAUGCAAAGAACUUUGAAAAGAGAGUUAAAGAGUACCUGAAAUUGCUGAAAUGGAAGCGAAGGAAACCACUGUCGUGCUUGUCAUAUUUCUGUCACUGCUUGCGGUGGCGGCGCUGUGGCUGCACUGGUCAGGGUUGGUUCUGGUCUGGUACAAUUCGUGCUGGCUGGGACUGAUUUCUGUCGAAAUGGUUUUCUUUACCCCGUCUUGAAACACGGACCAAGGAGUCUAACAUAUGUGCGAGUACCGGGGUGUCAAACCCCGGUGCGUAAUGAAAGUGACAUUGGUUGUAUUAUUUCCCCAUCCGCCGGCCUCA